rnacentral:lncRNA from 1 species
CCUGUCAUAGUUCUUCACAACAUAUUACAUACAUAAGUUGAAGUGGUUUCUUAAAAAACGGCAUGUGUUACUUUGUCACUCCUGAGUGGCAACUGGCAAGCACGUUGUUGAAGUAGGAUAACCACAAUUAGCAUCCGUCAUGGUUUAUCACUGGCUUCAAGUACCACUUGCCCUGAAUCAUGGGCGCUCCCAAUACACGCACCUAUGAAAAGUAGAGAGCACCCAUAUAAUCUUAAAUGGUAUAAUCUUAAAUGGCUUGGCCGAGAUCACAUAUAGAAAACAUACUUGUUCCCAAUUUUUAUCGGAAUACAUGACCUCAAAUGUAGUUAUUUUAUAUCUGCUAUUUUUGAUUGUCAGAGUUCAUGUUCCCCUCCAACCUGCAUCAGCAAAAUAUGUAGGCCUUAUCAGUAUAUUGGACAACUCUAGAGCUAUUGGAAUUGCAUAACCUCCAUAUGUCUGCAUCAGGCUUGCCUAUCAACUACUCGACAGAAGUUGAAACCGAGCUCAACGAUUAUGCAAAAAUUAUAAUAAAAAAUCACGAAAUACAUCGUGCCCUUGUCGACAGUAUGCGAGAACACUACAUGCAGACAUGAUGAUGAUGUUACAUGCAUGUCAGGGUUGUAGACCACAAAACAGCUAGUCAUUCCUAUUGUACAGAUUUGUAAGUCUUAGGAUGUGGUAAGCAGGUUAGCACUGACAUACUUUUCAUUUGGACCAAGAUGGUUGAUAUACAUUUCUGACCUCCUCCUCGGUCCAUCAAUUAAAGAGAAAAUCAUGCAAGGCUUUAUCUAUAAGUAAGGCACGUACCUAUUUACUCAUAGCUAAUGAAAUUGACAUACCUGCUUCACACCAGCAUGUCAACUGCUCCCGUACAUGUUAAAAAUGAGCUCAUAAGCUUUAUCGCCAUUGCACCUACUGAAG